rnacentral:rRNA from 1 species
AUUGAACGCUGGCGGCAUGCUUUACACAUGCAAGUCGAACGGCAGCGCGGGCUUCGGCCUGGCGGCGAGUGGCGAACGGGUGAGUAAUGCAUCGGAACGUGCCCAGUAGUGGGGGAUAGCCCGGCGAAAGCCGGAUUAAUACCGCAUACGACCUGAGGGUGAAAGCGGGGGACCGAAAGGCCUCGCGCUAUUGGAGCGGCCGAUGUCGGAUUAGCUAGUUGGUGGGGUAAAGGCUUACCAAGGCGACGAUCCGUAGCUGGUCUGAGAGGACGACCAGCCACACUGGGACUGAGACACGGCCCAGACUCCUACGGGAGGCAGCAGUGGGGAAUUUUGGACAAUGGGGGCAACCCUGAUCCAGCCAUGCCGCGUGCGGGAAGAAGGCCUUCGGGUGGUAAACCGCUUUUGUUCGGGAAGAAAUCCUCUGGGCUAAUACCCCGGGGGGAUGACGGUACCGGAAGAAUAAGCACCGGCUAACUACGU